GCAUGUCUCGGAAAUAGCUGUUGCAUCAUGUGCUCUGGACGCGAAGGUGGUGCGUCGUAGCGGCUUGCUUUAGUUGCGAGCAAGGGCUGAACCCGUGAAGUACAAGACAGAACACAUUCGUUCGAGAUGACGUAACCAAAAGAGACGAGGGAGAUGUGAGCAGCAAUACACGCAGUUGACAUCACAUUUGUUUCAAGAGAACCAAGAGCCAAGACGGAAUCACCGAGUCCAAAUUACCUGUUGGAGUACAUCUGCCCUCAAGCUGUUGUGAUUUUUUUUUUUUUUUUCUCCGCUGAAUGUCAAUUUUUAUUUUUAUUUUAAAGAAAAUUGGAUAAGUAUGGGAGGAAGUUAAGGAAGUUCAGUUGAAAGUUAAGAUGAAAAUGGCUGCAAGGAUUUUUUUUAUUUUUUUUAUUUUUACGGUUUUGUAGAAAGUGGAAAGAAAGAAAGAUUAGUAAGAGAAUUACAUAUUACUGCUAGGAAUAUUGUUUUAUAUUUUGAAGGAAAUUAAAUAGAUAAUAAGAGGGUUUAAAGAUGUUAAGUUAGGAGCUAGGCAAUAAAUUAUUGAUAGGAAUGUUACUCUUCCCUGUGAAGAAAAUGUGACAUGUAUAGAAAAGUUAACUUAGAAGGUAGAUUAGGAGCUGAUUGAUGAAUCACUGGUAUCAAUAUUAUCUCUUUUGGUCAAACAAUAUCGUUACAUAAACAAGAUAAAGGGGUUAAGUUCGUUAGACCAACUUUUUUUUUUAUUGAACGGGAAAUUUUUCUUCCUGUAGUUCGUCGGGUACGCUGUCUGUGUGACCACCAAAACAAUUGUGCGGUUCCUCCAUGCAGCGCUCAAGCGUCCGUUCGUUCGGCCUUGAAACAUCGAUGACUCAACCACAAACUGGCGGACGGGACGGAGCGGCUGCGGACCAACGGCGGCGCGGGGUCCCUCCGUAAAAGCGUCCGCGGCUGCGAGCGUUUGCCGUCUUUGUUUUGGAGGCAGGAGGAAAGCCGCUUGGCUGUGUAAUUCGCAAGUGUUCAUCGCAGCAGUCUUCGAUUCGUAAAAUCACAGGUUCGGUCUCCUGCCCGGUUUUCCGCGGAUGGAAGUCGUACAGGUGGAGGGAAACCUACCAAGUCUCGGGGGACAAUGAAGCUUUCUCCAAGACCUCUUGAUUGUGUCGGUUCCACGUGAAGAUUGAACCGAAUGAUCAAGUACAUUGCCUAUAAAAGUGAUGGUAUUGCCUGAUAUAGUAAUCUGAGUAUAUGAGCCCAGCACGAGACACAGAGGCGUCAGGUUGGUCCCAUUUUGGGGGAAUGUUGCUGGUACUUCAGUAAUGAUAGAUAUGCAAGAUUAAUCGAUAUACUAUUGAUGAGUAAUUGUCACUCCCUCCCUGUAGAGGACAUGAAUACUUUUAGUCCUACGUUGGACUUUUAGUGGCGUUAACACAGUAAGUCUUCCGUUAACUCCAGGCAAUCACAUGCCAUCCUUUGCCUCCUUCCUUUGCACGGAGAACCUGCACAACGCCGGCACAAACCAUGGCGAGAAAUGCUUCAGCGCCGUGCGGAGGGCGCGCUGUGACCAGGGGCUGAGUCAACGGGUGCAAGUGGGUGGGGACUGCGAAGAUAGGAGGGCGAGGCGAAGGGGAGAAGGGGAGGAAGGAGGGAGGAGGAAGGGGAGGAGGAAGGGAGGCCAAGAGAGGGACGGAGGAAAGGAAAGAGGAGGGUUGAUGGGGGGAGGGAGGAAGGGAGGGAGGUUGACGAGGGUAGGGGAAGGGUGGAUGGAGGAAGGGAGGGAGGGAGGGCGGAGAGAGAGAGACGGGGACCAACAUUGGGGUCAACUUUCACCUCUUACCAGAGGUCCCUCACCCGAGUCAUCCACCGUCUCCCGACAGCCACUCCGGCACCGACGAGCACCACGGCUGCUCUCCUACACGCUCCUGCCGUCAUUGAUAACGUUACUGCUCUCUCCUUAUCACUUUCCUGGCGCCCUGUGAGAAAAUGGCACUGGAAAGCUUGAAAUGAUUUCCAUUUCUGUUUGUCUCUACCUAUCUCUUUUGUCUUAUUCGUAAUUGUUUAUGUUCUCCUUUUCACAAAUUCAGAGAACACAUUAAUGCAUACUUAAUGAAAAAAUAUAUACCAAUUUGUUUAAUGCAUCUACAUUUAUUUAUCUAACCUUACGGUCUUCAUGUUGAUCUAUAGCCUUGUCUUAAACUUAUGCGUUAAUUUGCGCAUCGGCUGUGCAUUCAUACUUCCCUCGAAAUACAAAAGACAAUAAGCGCGGAAAUCGCUCAUCUUCUCUCGGUGAAGCCGAAGCCAGCGCCAGAAAUCCUGACUGGAGCGGAGUGCCAUACGUCGAGACGAAAAAAAAGCGCGGGCGUGGAGGACGUCUUGCGCAAGGAGGCACCGCCGCCGCCGCCGCCACCCCCCGCCCGAACGCCUCCCUCAGCGGCCGCGCAAAAACUCACGUGAGGCGAACACACGAACUCACGAACCGCUGAACAACAAAUCCGCGCGCAGCUGUUGUUGAAGGGAGGAAGCUUUCAUUUUUUCCCGAUUACUGCGUGACCACUUCUUCUGGCACUUACUGCUGCAUCUUCAUAGUCUUCUGGUUGUUUAGUCCUUAAUCACGCGAAUCACUUGCGAAUAACUAUGGCUUUGAAAAAAAAAAGAAACACCAAAUGGGCUCAUAUGUUUUUAAGUUAACACAAACAGUAGUUUUUCUCCUCCGUUUUUUAUUUUUUGCACAGUCACCUAACUGUAAGGUCCGUUAAGCAGAGGUGUGAUCUAGAUAUUAAAGAUAGUGACACGACAGAAUCAUAGGAGUGUGGGAAGAAAGUGUCCCAAAGCAGGAGAGUCGGCGCUGCCAUUCUCUUUACCUCACCAUUCAUCUUCGCCCCCUCACUCCCUCGCUCCCUCUCUCUCUCUCUCCCUCGCCCCCUCACUCCCUCGCUCCCUCUCUCUCUCUCUCCCU